rnacentral:misc_RNA from 1 species
GGCUUCAUCGUCCUGCGCGGCAACCUGUUCGAUUCGGCGAUCAUGAAGACCAGCGUGAUUUCGAAGGAAUUCCGCGACCGCUAUCUGUCCAACCCGAAAGACCCCGAAGCCUUCGAAGGCCGCGCCAUCGUCUUCGAGGGACCGGAAGACUAUCAUCACCGCAUCGACGAUGAAUCCCUGAACAUCGACGAACACUGCAUGCUGUUCGUGCGCGGCGUCGGGCCGAUCGGUUAUCCCGGCGGCGCGGAGGUCGUGAACAUGCAGCCGCCCGCGGCGCUGAUCA